rnacentral:rRNA from 1 species
CAGUCGCCGCGGGAAUACGUAGGGUGCAAGCGUUAAUCGGAAUUACUGGGCGUAAAGCGUGCGCAGGCGGUUAUAUAAGACAGAUGUGAAAUCCCCGGGCUCAACCUGGGAACUGCAUUUGUGACUGUAUAGCUAGAGUCUGGCAGAGGGGGGUGGAAUUCCGCGUGUAGCAGUGAAAUGCGUAGAUAUGCGGAGGAACACCGAUGGCGAAGGCAGCCCCCUGGGCCAACACUGACGCUCAUGCACGAAAGCGUGGGGAGCAAACAGGAUUAGAUACCCCUGUAGUCCCUGUCUCUUAUCC